GGGAUAUGCAAAGCUUUAGCACGCUGUUCAUCACGGCUCAAGUUUCUAUCUGUGUCUUCAAGGUAUCUACUCCUUAUCUUCUGUGACUUCCCAGGCCACGGAAAAGGUUCAGAAGUAGAUUCUGGUGCAGUUGGCUGUAAGUGGAACAGGACACACUGGCACAUCCUUUUCCCACCAAACCACAGAAAAACAUUUUUAAGUGAAGGUUGAAGAAAUGGCAAUUUACAGAUGCCAGAAGAAAGGAUAAAAAUCAAGGCAAGAUAAGAAAAAAGGAGGCUGAUGUUCUGCUGGUCCACUUGGUUUACUGGCUUCUCUGUCUGAUUGUGCCUAACUCUGACACUGUGCCUUCCCUCUAGACACUGUAGAUGAUGUUUAGUCCUAGCUCAAUCAGUCUCUCCCUUUGCACAUUUCCGUUACAACCCUGCUCAUGUGCUCAAGAUAUUGCUCCUGCUACUCUCCCCUCUCUUCUGCAUCAACAGUUCUUUCUCAUCUACUGGACAAUUCGCAUCAGCCUACUAUCAUACACAAAUACCCCCACCUUUAAAAACCCCUCCCUUGGUCCCACACUAGUCUUCAGAUUCCAUCCCAUUUUUUGCUCCCCUUGACAGCAAAAACCUCCAAAGAGUAUCUGUACUCAGUGUAUUUUCUCUUCACCCAUCAGCAAAAUUUGACUUAGUUACCAUCUCCUCCUGGAAACAGCUUCUUCACCUGGCAUCCAAGUACCUCUCUAUUCUCCUACCUCAUCAAGAACUUCUGCUUUGCUGAUUCUUCAUCCCCUUGAUAUCCAAACAUAGCAAUGUCCCAAGGCUCAGUUCUCAGGUCCACCAAGCACUCUCCCACUUCACAGCCCUUGUAUUUGCAGCCCUUUCUGCCUGUAAGCUCUCUCAACCCUCUUAUCCUCCUGACCCCAGGUCUCUUCAAAUAUUUACCAUCUCAGUUUUC
rnacentral:lncRNA from 1 species